rnacentral:rRNA from 1 species
AUUGAACGCUGGCGGCAGGCCUAACACAUGCCAGUCGAACUAGUGGCGGACGGUUGAGUAAUGUCUGGGAUCCUGCCUGAUGGAGGGGGAUAACUACUGGAAACGGUAGCUAAUCCCGCAUACCAUCAGAUGUGCCCAGCUGGUUUUAGCUUGUUGGUGGGGUAACUGCUCACCAUGGCGACGAUCCCUAGCUGGUCUGAGAGGAUGACCCUCAACACUGGAACUGCGACACGUUCCAGAGUCCUACGGGGUGCAGCAGUGGGGAAUAUUGAACAAUGGGCGCAAGCCUGAUGCAGCCAUGCCGCGUGUAUGAAGAGGGCCUGCGGGUUGUAAAGUACUUUCAGCGGGGAGGCGUUACCCUCAGAAGAAGCACCGGCUAACUCCGUGCCAGCAGCCGCGGUAAUUC